rnacentral:rRNA from 1 species
AAAUUGAAGAGUUUGAUCAUGGCUCAGAUUGAACGCUGGCGGCAGGCCUAACACAUGCAAGUCGAACGGUAACAGGAAGCAGCUUGCUGCUUCGCUGACGAGUGGCGGACGGGUGAGUAAUGUCUGGGAAACUGCCUGAUGGAGGGGGAUAACUACUGGAAACGGUGGCUAAUACCGCAUAACGUCGCAAGACCAAAGAGGGGGACCUUCGGGCCUCUUGCCAUCAGAUGUGCCCAGAUGGGAUUAGCUUGUUGGUGAGGUAAUGGCUCACCAAGGCGACGAUCCCUAGCUGGUCUGAGAGGAUGACCAGCCACACUGGAACUGAGACACGGUCCAGACUCCUACGGGAGGCAGCAGUGGGGAAUAUUGCACAAUGGGCUCAAGCCUGAUGCAGCCAUGCCGCGUGUAUGAAGAAGGCCUUCGGGUUGUAAAGUACUUUCAGCGGGGAGGAAGGUGUUG